rnacentral:rRNA from 1 species
UACGUAGGUGGCAAGCGUUGUCCGGAUUUACUGGGCGUAAAGAGCGCGCAGGCGGUCGUUCAAGUCGCGUGUGAAAGCCCCCGGCUCAACUGGGGAGGGUCACGCGAUACUGAUCGACUCGAAGGCAGGAGAGGGUAGUGGAAUUCCCGGUGUAGUGGUGAAAUGCGUAGAUAUCGGGAGGAACACCAGUGGCGAAGGCGACUACCUGGCCUGACACUGACGCUGAGGCACGAAAGCCAGGGGAGCAAACGGG